CCCGCCCCUCGUCGAGUUCAGAGAAACGCGCAGGGCUGGAGUGACCUUAACGUUCAUCAGUACCCAAUGAGACGCCCAGAGAAGCGUGACCUCCCAAGACACUAGGAUUACAGACAGGCAUGCACCACCGUGACCCCAUGGGACUGAAAUUCUGAAGACACCUGAAAGGACCCUUCUCUAAAUGGCCCAACUGCAAAAUUCCCCGCAUAUGUGCUCCAAGCUCUAAGAUGAUUCAAGUAAGAAGAAGGGCACACAAGAGAAGUUGCCCAUUGAAAACUCAUUUGUUGCCAGGCACAGUGGCACAGGUCUGUAAUCCCAGCAGUUUGGGCAGCU